rnacentral:tRNA from 1 species
GCUCCCAUAGCUCAAUCGGCGAGAGCGAUACGGUAAACAAUGUGUCAACACCAGAUCGGUGUGAGGUCCGGGUUCGAGUCCCGGUGGGAGCA